GUUAAGUCCCGCAACGAGCGCAACCCUCGCCCUUAGUUGCCAUCAUUCAGUUGGGCACUCUAAGGGGACUGCCGGUGAUAAGCCGAGAGGAAGGUGGGGAUGACGUCAAGUCCUCAUGGCCCUUACGGGCUGGGCUAUACACGUGCUACAAUGGUGGUGACAGUGGGCAGCAAGCACGCGAGUGUGAGCUAAUCUCCAAAAGCCAUCUCAGUUCGGAUUGCACUCUGCAACUCGAGUGCAUGAAGUUGGAAUCGCUAGUAAUCGCGGAUCAGCACGCCGCGGUGAAUACGUUCCCGGGCCUUGUACACACCGCCCGUCACACCAUGGGAGUUGGUUUUACCCGAAGGCGCUGCGCUAACCCGCAAGGGAGGCAGGCGACCACGGUAGGGUCAGCGACUGGGGUGAAGUCGUAACAAGGUAACCGUA
rnacentral:rRNA from 1 species